AGUGAACGCUGGCGGUAGGCCUAACACAUGCAAGUCGAACGGCAGCACAGUAAGAGCUUGCUCUUACGGGUGGCGAGUGGCGGACGGGUGAGGAAUAUAUCGGAAUCUACUUUUUCGUGGGGGAUAACGUAGGGAAACUUACGCCCAUACCGGAUACGACCUACGGGUGAAAGCAGGGGAUCUUCGGACCUUGCGCGAUUGAAUGAGCCGAUGUGGGAUUAGUUAGUUGGGGGGGUAAAGGCCCACCAAGGCGAGGAUCCGUAGCUUGUCUGAGAGGCUGGUCAGCCACACUGGAACUGAGACACGGUCCAGACUCCUACGGGAGGCAGCAGUGGGGAAUGUUGGACAAUGGGCGCAAGCCUGAUCCAGCCAUACCGCGUGUGUUAAGAAGGCCUUCGGGUUGUAAAGCCCUUUUGUUGGGAAAGAAAAGCAGCAGGUUAAUACCCCGCUGUUCUGACGGUACCCAAAGAAUAAGCACCGGCUAACUUCGUG
rnacentral:rRNA from 1 species